CGGUCAGCGCUGUGGCUCCUUAUGAGUGCCACCGGACCCUAUGAUGAUGUGAGCCUGGGAGGAAGGGACGGCUGGACACUUCCUUCCAUCGAGCAAAGAACCACAUAGGAGGAGAAAGAAGGAGGCCCAGUCAGCCAGGGAAAUGUACAAAAUGACCAAAAGGUAGGAAACAGGAUGGUUGCUAAAAAUUUUACAUUUUGUGUUUCGG